rnacentral:rRNA from 1 species
AGCGAACGCUGGCGGCAGGCCUAACACAUGCAAGUCGAACGAAGUCUUCGGACUUAGUGGCGGACGGGUGAGUAACACGUGGGAACGUACCUUUUGGUUCGGAACAACUCAGGGAAACUUGAGCUAAUACCGGAUGAGCCCUUAGGGGGAAAGAUUUAUCGCCGAAAGAGCGGCCCGCGUUAGAUUAGCUAGUUGGUGAGGUAAAGGCUCACCAAGGCUACGAUCUAUAGCUGGUCUGAGAGGAUGAUCAGCCACACUGGGACUGAGACACGGCCCAGACUCCUACGGGAGGCAGCAGUGGGGAAUCUUGCGCAAUGGGCGAAAGCCUGACGCAGCCAUGCCGCGUGAAUGAUGAAGGUCUUAGGACUUUUUAAUUUUUUUACCCGGGACGAUAAUGACGGUACCUGGAGAAAAAGCCCCGGCUAACUUCGUGCCAGCCGCCGCCGUAAUAC